CAGGCAUCCAUUGGGGUUCUUGAAACAUAUCCCUAUGGACAAAUGUAAAUAUUGGUAUAUUGAGAUCUAUUUAUCAUUAGCUCAGGAGAUAUCAAGAUGUGAGGUGAGUGCUGGACUAAAAAAAAAAAAAAAAGCAACAACAGGAUGUUGAGCUUCAGAGAAACAGACUCAAAGAAAGGAUCAGAGGAGAGGUCUGGGGGCACCCUGGGGCUUUAGGAGACUGAGAACCGCACAGAAUGUGUCUGUUCAUCCAAGAGCUGGGCACAUCUUCACUCAAGUGUGUUCAAACUCAAUGUUAAGUAGUGAUUUUAUGAAACUUCAAGUGGUCAGGACUGUGGACAGAACAAAACCAGGCUGUCCCUGUCUGUUGGGAGCAGUUACCAGAGAGUGGGACAGAAAUGAUAGUUUUGAAAUCUACAGGGCAGAGAGUGAUGACACACCUCUUAUUGGACUGUCUUCUAGGCUCCCACUGUGUCACAGACAUGCAUUUGUGACCUCAUAGAUUUCACUGGUUUCAUGUUCAUCUGCUCAGAACCUACUGUUUGGAUCAGGGUACCCUUGGGUGUCAUCAGCUUGAUAUUGGAUUCUUUUUCUUCAUGUUGACAGCCAUAUUACGAGAGAGAGAGAGAGAGAGAGAGAGAGAGAGAGAGAGAGAGAGAGAGAGAGAGAGAGCGAGAGAGAGAGCUAUUUAUUCUGGGUAAUCUGGGUAUGUAAGUGUUAGCUUUGGAGUUACUACCUCCCUAGGUUGUUUGGUAUUUGGAGAGCAGAGGUCACAGUGCCAUGUCCUCUCAGCAAGAGAAGAUAGUUUAUUCCCCAUGGUCAUACAAGAUAUUGGCAGAGAGAAUUGUUGACAGUAGUCCAAUAUUUGUGAGGAAAUAAACACAUUGUCUAAAACAAGAUAUUCAUUUUGAGAAAGACUUUAGUAUUUUACUUCUUUCCUUUAUCUGUAGCCAUACCUAGGCACCUGGCCAUCAAAAUAAUGGGCUGGGUUUUUUUUGUUUUUUGUUUUUCAUUUUAUUCUGAGUAGCUCAAUUUUUUCUCCAUUGUCCACUGAAGUGGGAAUUUCUGGUUUUGUUGGAGACUCAGUUGUGUCAAGUGAUAUUUUUCUGGAACCAGUCUCAUGAGAGGAUGUUUUGUGAAGCAGACACAUGAGAGGAUGUUUUACUGAGAACAGACACGUGCGGUUUUUCUGGAAGCUGACUGGUGAAAAGGCAUGUGAUAUUUUGCUGAAGUGGAUGCUUGAGAGGACAUGUGAUGUUUAGAAAGAGUGUAAGUGUAACCCAGCAGACAGUGGACAGUCCUCUUGCAUUGAUUUGCCUUGCGCUUUUCACUGAUCUUCACUUGUCAUGACUUCAUACACCGAAAUGCACUGAAGAACUUCUGGUGGUGGUCUAGCUGUCUGCUGCUUCAGCAGACUCAUGCCGAUCGACUGAGCCUUAUGGUUUCUUCUGAAUUAAGCCUUUGCAUUGCUGAUUGGUGUUUGGUGUUUUGCUAUUGGUGUUUGGUGUUUGGUGUUUGACUGUACUGCUGACAACAAAGAUUGGAAUCACCCCAAAGAACUACUAAACAGGUCCAUAUUCCUGCUCUCCUAUUAGUUAUCUUACUCCCUACCUCUGGAUGGUGGGCUAUAAGAGAGGUUAAAGAGCCCUUAUUAAAGUAGGUUUUGAAAAAUAUAAGCCUACAAGACAUGAGCUAGGCAAAAUGUUAUCAAGGUAAACCAGCUUAUUACGCAAGGUUCGUGACAAGUUACUGGAAGUAUGUUAGUGGAUUAUUAUAAAAUAACAUUAUUUCACAAAUUAUAUGGAAGUCAACUUUUUACCAUAUCCCCAUAGCUGCAUAAUUCUUUGUUCUCACGCCAGUAUUCUGUGUUUCAGGUUUCCUUCUCAGGAAAAAGAAGUUGAGUCUUCAUUGGCUUGUGCAGUGCAGCCCAGCAUUUCCACUAAAGCAAGUCAAGGGUGUCCACUCACUCCACUCACUCAGUAUAGUACUUACAGCCUUCACUAAAGCAGAAAGAUAAGUGAAAGGAAUUGAGGAGCCACAAACAGAAAAGAAAGAAAUCAGAGCAUCUUCAUUUGCAAACAAUAUGAUUUCAUAAAAGACCAUAAAUACUCCACCAAAAAAACAUAUACAGAUGAUAAAUACUUUCAGCAAAGUAGCAGAAUGCAAAAUUAAAACACAAAAUGGCAGCCUUCCUAUAUACAAGUGAUAAAUAUAUGAAGAAUGAAAGCUACCACUCUUUAUAGUAGUCUUAAAAAUUAUCUUGGAAUAACUCUAACCAAGCCAGUGAAAGACCUGGACUGACCUUACUGUUUCCCCCUCUGCCUGUCCAUCAAAAUCCUAAGCAAGGAAGCCAGAAUCAUCCAUUCAAGAUGGCGUUAGUAAGAAACAGUAACCCAGAUAUUCUGUUCUCUAUGGACUUUUGUCGUUGUCCCAGCACAUAGCCACACACCAGGUUCUCCCCAGCACUGGCUAUUAACCUGAAUGUAUGCUUGGGCUAGAGGGGUUAUUUCUGGACUUAAAGGUCCAUUCAGAGCUGCAAAACAAAAUGUUCUAGGUAAUUCAACAACUAUGACAUUUCCAGAGUGAAUAAAUCUAGCUACAGUAGACUCAGUGUUGGAAAGGCUGAUUCAAAGAUUGCCCUGUACCUCAGGGGCUGAGUUUCUUCGGGCUCAGUUUUCAUGCCUUUUAUAUUGACAGUACUACCUCUUAAUCUUUACUCUGCAGGUGCAACAAAUGGUCAGCAGGGUCCACAUUUCAGGAAAGAUGAGAAAAGACGAAGAAGCAGAAUAGUUUAGUGGUUAAACACACAGUCUUUAGAUCUGUUGGGACCUUGAUUCUACUACUCAACAUAUGUGUGACUUGACUUUUUAAAUCACCAGUAAAUCUGAGUGGUACAACAGCUGGACUAACUCCAUUGACUGUGGGAUGCACAUGAGCCAACAGUUGAAAAAGAGAUUUCCUUCCUUCAUUCUCUCAGGGUGUUGGUUCUUAUCAGGAAUUCUCUUCAAAUUUUUACAGCUUUGCUGUUGAGGCUCUUUUGAAUUAGAUGUGUCUCUAUGAUGGGGGUCCAGUGUUUUGGUGUUCUGUGGGAUAGAUGUUAGAGACAGUCAUAAUAGGAUCACAUGGGUUGCCUGUUUCAUUUCUCCAGCAAAGACUUGCCAGAUAUGUGCAUAUUUAUUUCCCUUAUCUCUAUUAUUAUUGUUCCAGAUGAUGAACUGACUCUAUUAGCUCUCAAGAGUCUCACUUUCUUUAUGCAUAUCUUUUCUUUAUUGGUAGGAAACAAAGUAUGUAAACUACAUUUCCCAGAGUUCUUUGCCUAUUUCUUCCUGACAAUUUUGGCCAAUGAGAAGCUUUGCAGGGGAUUAGAGAGUGAGAAUAGCUUUUCCCCUCCUACUCUUGGGGUGUCUCUAGCUCUGCUGCUGUAGCAGCAGCUAAGUGUGACAAUUAAUCAUGGGUGAGAGCAAUGCCAUCUUUCUCAUUCGCUUUCACAUUCACAUCCUGCUAUGGUUUCCUUUAGGAUAACAUCGCUUCCCUUGUAAUCUUUAACUAAUCAUUUGUAUGGAUUUAUCUGUAUUAAAAAUAUUUAGACUGGUUUUCCCUUCUAUGAAUAUUGAACAAUACAGUCACAUAUGACUUCAUGACUGAUAGAAAAAAAUCAUUAAAGAAGAUUAAACCAUUCUUUAGUAAAUUUAGAUGGUCAAUGUAUUUUGGACCUAUAGACAUAUGGGAACAUACAUAGACAAGUGAACAAAUGUUGAAGAAUAAAAUGAAGGAAUGUUUUAGGUAUAGUUUAUUAAUCUAAUGCUGAAUAAGUUGCUCUACAUAACAUUCUCAAACUUGUUUAAACAAAAAACUAAUUUAUUAUUUAUCAAUGUUUCUCUGGGUAAAGAAUUUGAAAGCAGCUUGACUGGGUAGCUUGGCACAGGCAUCCAUAAAGUAGUGAAGCAGUUAGAGGUAAGCUGAGUCUGUGGGCAUCUGAGAUUCUGAUAGAGGCUGGAAAAGCUAGCCUUUGAAGCCACUCACAUGUCUGGCACGCCAGUGCUGGCUGCUGGCAGAAGGCCUCAGUUCCUUCCUCUGUGGAUUUCUUCCAAGAGUUUUUUAAGUGUUCUCAUGGCAGGCUAAUUGGCUUACCUCUAAAGAAAGCAACCUACGUGAUUGAGAAGGAAGCUGAAACACCUUCUGUGACCUUGUCUUGGAAGCCACUCAUUGUAGCUUCAGUUGUCUUCUACUGUAUUGGUCACGUAUACAUAAUGAAUAUAUCUCUGAUACACAAUGAAAAAUAGCUACACUGGGUAAAGGAGACAAUGUCAGCUCAAAGAGGGCCAGGGAAUUCAAUAUGGCUGCAUUGCAUGAAGAAGGCUGUGCAUGGAGAAGAGGCUGGUUAGAGGAGAUGACACUAAAUCCUGGUGAGUCUUGAGCUCUAUACAGGGAGUGGAAAGCACUCAGCAAUGAUUUAGCCAAGGGGAGAGAGAGAAGAUGUUUGAGGAGAGAGACAGCAUUAUCAUACACAUGCAAAAAAAAAAAAAAAAAAGAGGGGGCAAUAAGUAGGAGGCACUAAGUUUAGUGAGUAUCUCUGGUUGAAGAAAUGAUGACUAUUUAAAAAUGAUUACUAUUUUAGAUCAUCUCCAGUUUCCAAUCUUGUGUGUGUGUGUGUGUGUGUGUGUGUGUGUGUGUGUGUGUGUGCAUAUGUCUGUGCAUGUGUGUGUGUGUUUGCUUUUGGUAACAAUUUUUAAACAGAACACAUGAAGUUGUUUUUAAAGGAUAAGACACAAAUGUGGCAGAGAAGAGGCUAGUGAAAGCGGUGUCUAGAGAACUCGGUUCUGGAGGCUAAAGGGGGUCAGCAGAGGAGUGUUGUCCUUUAAUGGUGGCUUGUGGCAUCCAAAACUCCUGAUGAAUUAUUUUAUGUUAUGAAAUAUUAUGAGGUGGGACCCUUAUGAGAUAUUUAGAGAUACAUAGCCUUAGUGGACUCGUGGAUUGAUAUAUCUUGGGAGAGUGUCUGUUUUUACAACUCUAGUGUGAUCCCUGUCUCAUCCUAUAUGUGAUGUGACGUGCACUUUGAGACUCUUAUCAGCAAUAAGGCCAUCCCCAGAUAUAGGGUCUUGAUCCUGAACCAGAACAAUGGGAAAAAAGAAACUUUCCUCUCUAAUUUAUUAGCAACAGAAAUGGACUCAAAUGGUAUGGAAGAAGAUGUUACUGAUGUAUUCUGAAUGCACAUUAUCUGGGGUUUUUUUUGUGUAUAUUCAUAAAGCUAUCAAUAUUGAAAUCCUAAUUUUCUUAAAAUCAAGAAAUAUCUCUCACUUUCAGAUAUCCCCAAAAUACAUAACACUUUACCUGUCUGUCACAGAUGUUUAUUGAGUAAAUCAUCUUCCCUAACAUCUCACAUAGAUGUAGUCACACAUGCUACUAUUUUUAUUCAUCUAUAUGUAGACACACACACUUCUUCCAAGAGUUGUAUACAUGCUAAAUUUGUGCUCUACUAUUCAUCUGUAUCUCUGUACCUAAGUCUUCCUAUCUUACUUGCUAUACCUCUGUGGCUGCUGUUCCUGGGACAUGAUAGGGAACAAGAUGAGCAACAUCAUGCUUUGGAUCCUAAAUUAUCCCAAAAGAUCAUAUGCUAAAGUUUUGGUCCGUAACUUUGGAAAAUGAUGGAACCCUGAAGAGGUGGAGCACAGUUGGGGAAAAUUAGGUCACCAUAACCAGGCCACUGAAAUGGGACCUCACCUUCUUUCUUUCUUUUCUUUGUUUUCCUGACCCGUGAUGUAGGCAGACUUCCAUGCCAUGUUCUCCUACCAUGAUGCACUGAGCCCUCAUGGGCCCAAAAUAAUGAGACAAGUGGCAAUGGGCUGAAGCCUCUGUAACAAGAACUUUUUCUUCUUUUCAGUUGGUUUUUUUUUUUCAGGUGUUCUGUUAGCGACAGAGAGAAGACUAGUGUAGACAUAGAAGGAAGAACACAUGGAGGAUAGAACUCAUAACAGGGAUCACAGUCUACCAGAUGGGAGCCAAGAUCCAAAAGAAACAGUCAGGGAGAACACUACAUCUGCAUGAUGCCCAUAGCAAGUGAUUCACUCCAGAUAUUCUGUUAGAAGUGGAACCUGCUUCCUUAUGUCUUCUGGGUAAAGUACAGAGUUGGUAAUGCUACCGCAAGGCAAAUCAGUCCAAAGUACAUGAGGUUCCCCCCAUCCCCACCUGUGAUAAGUAUGUGGCUUUAUCAAGAGAAUUAGAACCUGGUGGUAUACUUCAAGAACGCAUGGACCCAAGCGAUGAACUUUUCUUGUCUGGGAAGGGCUAUGUAGAUGAUGGAGCCAAAGAACCUUCUAGCAUGUUCAUUGAGUUACUAGCAGGAAAGGAGAGGAACAGGAGGCCUUGCAACUGGUAGAGGUUGAAAAGGAGACAAACACGCAACAAUCUCUGUGCUGAGGCACACGGGCAGGCAAUAGCACAGCCAUUUCCUUACUGUCCUAAAGAAACCUAUUCUCUGAUGUCCCCUCUGUCCUCCUCAUAGGCUGCCACCUGAACUGCCACAAAAGUGAGUCAUCCACCUCCUCUAAACACACUUGUGCAUGAAGGGUAGCCCUGAGAAAAAUCUAUAGCAUGCUUAAGUUCUGAAGGGCCUGGAUUUUCUGGGUAAGAGGUACUUUCUCAACUAUAUCAGUACAAUGCCAUUUAGGACUGUAGCAUCAUUCCGCUCACAGCUAUAACCAAACACACAGUAAAUUAAACAACACCUUGUUAGCUGAUAUUAAGUCCUAUAGGUUGAAAGUCUGAGGUAUGCUGAAGUUUACUGGGCUGAACUCACUGGACCACAUUUUCUUUUCUUUUUUUCCCUGGAAGCCAUCUCGACUUUCUUGGCCAAUAGAUUCUCUCCUCCAAUUUCAAAGACAAAAGUGUCUAAGCUCUCCCAUCCACUUCUCUGUCCUAUUCUGCCUCCCUCUUGGGACUCAAGAACCUUGUAAUUACACUGAUCCCCGGGACAAUACAGGGAAGUGCCCUCAUUUUAUGGGCGGGCCCAUUAGCAACCUAUUCCAUCUGCAAUCCUAAUUCUCUUUUGCCAGCAACUAUGAAACUCACUAGUUCUGGAGAUUAACUAGGAAACAGAUGGACAUCCUAGUCUGAUCUUUUACUCUCCUACCAGGGGAAUUAAAUUUUCUUUGUUGCUGUUUUCCUUUUACUUAUGUUAACUCUUUUGGUGCAGCAAGUAACAAAGCAAGCAAAGUGACUUGAUGCCCUACAAAUGACUCCUGAAACAGAUUAGGGCUUUUGAGUUCAGCUUCCUCUUCAGAUACCUGCUGACCUUGGGAUAAUUAUUAGCCUCUCUCUAAACCCGGGUUUCUCAUCUGUAAAAUGGGCACGAUACAAUUCAUUUACUGUGACUACCAAAGAAAUGCAAACCUUUUGGCCUGAUUACUGACAUGUAGAAAGUGCUCCGUGAACAUUGGUUUUAUUUAUUUUUUAACUUAGGCAAGAGUAAGUGGGGAGGGGUCAGGGGAGGUGAAGGAUGGAGAUUUCUCUGUAAAUGAACUCCCCGCAGAAGGUCCAGUCCUCCUGGUUGCUCACUGUGGUUUGGAUCCCGACCCACAGGUCCGUUGAGGACAAGAAAGAUGGAGCCUUCAGUUUCCUGAUCUUUGCACUAUGUCACUGUGCCUUUGCUGUGCCACCUCCUUUGCUUGCCACUGCUGUUGCCAGGCCAGGGAGUCACAGCCUUGGCAGCCAAGCUCCAGGAGACCUGAGUCCAAAACUGUAGGUUUGGCAGUGAUGAGCAGUUGAAGAGCAGCAGGCCCCUAAACUAUAAACAUCGGAAGUGAAAAUUCUUUUUAAUCGCAAUGAAUGAAAAGCUCUCUGGAUCCCCUGGAAGAUGGUGUGAAGGAAGCCCUCUUCGGCGCCAGUUCGAGAGCCAACCAGGAUGCUCCAAGGUCAGGUAUGGAAGAGGUAGGUGUGCUGAACUUGGUGCCCACGACGCCCGCCCACUUUACCACAGCCUUAGGAUACACACACCCUGAUUAUACCCUCACCCAGAACUAGUAACCGGGACUUCUGCGACGCCACUUAAAAACAGUAACAUCACAACCAACAUAUGUCCUCACGAUUAAACAGCACCUGAUAGCUGGAGCCGGCAUGACAAUCAUCUAAACAAUCCCAAACAAAAGAAAGGUUCGGUAAGGAGCCAAAUCCAAAAGCCUGAGUUUCGAAGACUCGCCUUAAAUUCCUGGAGAUCUCUCCUAGUGCAAGUGAGCGAGUGUGGUCCUUUGAUCCGGUAAGGUAGCUUCAAAUAGUAAGCCUGUCUUCGAGGGAACCCCUUAGGAUAAGUGUGCACGGGAGGCAAUAGUGUUGGAGGAGCCUUGCAUCCAGAGGAGUUCCACCUGGAGAGCAGUUGGAACCUCACUCUGAGCAAGGAGUUCCAGAGAAGGAACCCUGUUGUGUGAACAAAUCAGCCUGCCUCAUCCCGCCCUCUGGUCCCUUCUGUCUCCCCCCACCCCCCAACAGCCUACUUGGUUUUCUAGGAGGUGGAUCUAGCGGGAAUCUCUCUUCGGGGAGGGGUGUGUGUGGGGG